UGGGGUGUGUCUCAGUGAUGGAGUUCUUGUCUUGCAUGCAUAAAGCUCUGGGUUCAAUCUCCAGCACCACAA
rnacentral:tRNA from 1 species